GACGAACGCUGGCGGCGUGCUUAACACAUGCAAGUCGAACGGUAAGGCCCUUUUGGGGGUACACGAGUGGCGAACGGGUGAGUAAUGUAUCGGAACGUGCCCAGUAGUGGGGGAUAACUACUCGAAAGAGUGGCUAAUACCGCAUGAGAUCUCUGGAUGAAAGUGGGGGACCGCAAGGCCUCACGCUACUGGAGCGGCCGAUAUCAGAUUAGGUUGUUGGUGGGGUAAAGGCCUACCAAGCCUGCGAUCUGUAGCUGGUCUGAGAGGACGACCAGCCACACUGGGACUGAGACACGGCCCAGACUCCUACGGGAGGCAGCAGUGGGGAAUUUUGGACAAUGGGCGCAAGCCUGAUCCAGCAAUGCCGCGUGCAGGAUGAAGGCCUUCGGUUGUAAACUGCUUUGUACGGUAACGAAAGGACUCUGGUUAAUACCUGGGUCCGAUGACGGUACCGUAAGAAUAAGCACCGGCUAACUACGUGCCAGCAGCCGCGGUAAACUAGUCUACGC
rnacentral:rRNA from 1 species